rnacentral:lncRNA from 1 species
GGGGGUUUUUUUUUUUUUUUUUUUUCUCUCGGGGAAUCGGGGGGAGCUAGUUUUCAAGCUUUUGCAAGGUUACUAGUUUGGUUUUCAUUGGAGGUUUUUGAAGAUCAAGGGGAUUAGAGAAGAGGAGCUUCAUGCUUCGGGUCGGGAAAGGAAAGACAUAGAAUUUGGAUUUUUCUUCUUCGUAGAGUUUUGGGAAGACUGAGGCAAUCGCUGCUGAAGUUAGUAUUGUAAUGGUGAAUCGAGAUUUUUAAUGAAGUGGGUUUGAAUACUCUUGACUGUUUUGUAAAAUCGAGUUACGUCUGUGAUUGAAGGAUUAAAAGGGUGUCUAUAGGAUUGAGUAUGCGGAGUGAAUGAAAUUUAUUGGGUUAAUCUAACAAGACAGUCAGUGGAUACAAGAUCGUAAGUACAAAGCGAUAUUGAAGAUUAACAGUUUGGGUUGUUCGGGGUUCUCUGUAACGUCUAGAGACCUACCGGCUGGGGUAAAAAGGACUUCGACAAGCAGUCAAAGAGCAUCCGUAUAGAUUUACGAUACAUUGUUGUAGUCAUUUAUAUUCCAGCAGUCAAAACUGAUAGACUGCUUGACUAUCGACGAAUCUCCAUACUACCUUCUACAGCCAGACGCCCGGCGCGUUCUCGAGCAAGAAAGCACGUAAUAUGACAACGUAGCGAGGGCAUUCAUGAUGGCAUCUAACUUGGACUCCGAACUUUUUCUCAUAUUAAUGUCUUGGCCUCCUGCCAUUCAAAGAGAAGGACAAAAAUGACUCUACAAGAAGACAAUAUUGGUUUACAGGAGGGUACUCCGCAACCUCUAAAAUGCCUUAAGAGCUUCAAGAAAAGGGGUAAUUCACUCUCUCCAAGAAGAAUAAGACUCCAAUAUUAUAACAAAAGAAAUAUCAGUUUAGAGGAGGGUAAUCCGUAACCUCUAAAAUACUAGUACACUUCCAAGCAGAGGGAUAAUCCGCACUCUAACGAGGAAGAUACUAACUGAGAUAUCUGAGGUGAGUGAACUCUCGACAGACUGUCACGGACACAGAAAUAUAGACUUGAGAUCUAACAAGAAGUUCAAGAAGAACUGGCAAGAACUAGAUUAAUCAGAUGAAUACAAGAACAACACCAGAGAGGUGAGCUAGAGCUCCAAGAGAUGUGUUGUCGAGACUGAAGAACUCUUGAGCCUCGAUUUUAAUAUAUACUACUAUUUAGGAAGCUUUUCAAGCAACUUCUACUAACUAUGAAGCUUCUAGAAGAUUUCAGAGACUUGCUUCUAGAAGGUUCCUGAGACUUGCUUCUAGAAGGUUCUAGAAACUUGUCUCUAGAAGGUUCUAAGGACUAUGUCUCUAACAGCUUCUACUAAUUAAGAAGCUUCUAGAAGGUUCCAGAGACUUACUUCUAGAAGGUUCUAGAACUUGUCUCUAGAAGGUUCUAAAGACUAUGUCCCUAACACUUUGGUAGAAGUAUAGAAACUAGUGAAUCUUGAGCUUCUGCCAUUUCUACAAUGCAAAAAAAAAAAAUGCCUAGAGAAGCGUUAUUGAAGACUGCAGCUACAAUACGAGGUGCAACACAUUGGAAAGAUCCUAUUGAGUCUCUUUCAAUUCAUGCAUAUAUUGCUAAGAACCAACAUUAAGCUUUGAUGGAAGAAAAGAGACGAGGAUAUUUUGAUGAUAUAAGAAAAGGAAAUUUUUCUAAGAGGAAAACUCGAGGAGACGAGGCUCGUGAGGUGGUUUCACAAGAAUUGCCUAUAAAGGAUACUUCAGCAUCAUUUGAAGAAAAAAUAAAGGAGACUAAAGAUAAGGGUAGACCAAUUGCUUAUAAGCUACUUUCUGAUAUUGAAGUGGCAACAAAUUUAAAAGGGGUGCUGGAAGACCGUAUAUUAAAUGCUAAGGUGGAAUCCACAUUGAAAGAAAUUUUUGGAAUUACAAAGAAGGAGUUUCAUGAUGUUAUCAUUGACAGUAUUUAGCAAAAGAGGUAAUUAAUGGACAAAGCUAGAAUGAGACAUGCUUUUGAUGUAUGAUUAUAUAAAGAUGAAGAAGAGGUUGAUAAUGGUUACAAGCAAUCAACAAAUGAAAAGAAUGGGUAUAAUCAACGAGUAAGUUUUGAAGAUUAUAGUGAUAAAGAAAUAGAAGCUUCAAGCCAUUAUACUUAAAAGCAUUGGACAAGAGCAAUUACUGAAGUAUUGGUGAAAGUAGGAGAUGUAGAAGAACCAAUUGUUGCUUUAGUUGACCAUGGUUCUGAAAUAAAUCUUAUGUCUAAGGAUCUUUAUAAGAAGCGGAAAUGGCCAAUUGAUAUGGAACAUGGAUGGACAAUACGAGCAGCUAAUAAUAUGCGAGGCAAAUUAUAUGAAGCUUGUCCAGAUGUCAAAAUUCGGAUUGGAGAUGUUGCGACAGAACAACAUUUCUUUGUUCAAGAUACGUCUUAUCGAUUGAUUUUAGGAUAACCUUAUAUUACGGCAAUACGGAUGGAAACAAAAGUACUUGACGAUGGUUGUGCUUAUGUAAAGGUACGUAGUGAAGAUGGAAGAAAAUCUGUACAAUUUCUAAUAGUACCUCCUAAUCAUGGACAAAAUCAAGAUAGGUUGAAGGAAAAACCAUUGCCAAGGCUUGUUGAAGAAUUUAAGGAUUUUGAGGAAGUACCACUACAAAGAGGGAUUAUGGAGGUACAAAAGAGGAGGUACUCUCAAGAGAUGAAGGUAUCUUUGAUGCAAAUUUUAUUGAUAUUUUUUAGAAUAGAAAUAUUAUAUAUAAGAAAUUAGAUGAUUUUAAAAGAAAAGAAAGAAAAAGAUUAUAUAGUAUUGAAAGGGAACUACGUAAGUUAAGGGCAUUAGAAUAUGAUGAGAAGAUUUUAGAUAUUUAUGAAGAAAAUGGAUUGGAAGAUUCUUUGGAAUUAAUUACAUCUAUUGGAUUAGGGGAUAAUGAUAAGAUUUUUGAAAUUCAUUCGAGGGAGGUUUAUACUAUAUUUGAAUCUUUUUAAGCACCAGAAGUUAUUGUAGAGACAAAAUAUAAAACAGUAGAUAAAAAGGUAAAACCUGUUGUCGGACCUUUACUAGAAGAUUCUAAAGAACAAAUGGAAGAAGCAUUAAAAGAAGAGAGUUUAAGAGAUCUAAAGAAGAUUGGACAUUAGUUUAUAAAAGAGACUUUUGAAGGAUUGAAGAUUGGAUGCGAUGGUUCUUUAUUUCCAAUAGAAAUUGAAUAUUUGAAAAAAAUACUUACAAAAUAAGGUAAAUCAUAUGUCUUUCGAUCUCGUGAAAUAGGAUGUGUAGAUCCUAAUGUUGUUGCUCCUAUAGUUAUCUUUACAGUACCUCAUGUACCUUGGAACUUAAGGCCAAUUCUUGUGUCGAGGGCACAUUAACCUGAAUUGGUGGAAUUAUUGAAAGAAAAGAUGCAAAUAAAAAUUUUGGAGCCUUUUUUUGCUCUAUAUUCUAGUCGUUGGUUUACGGUGCCUAAGAAAAAUGGAUCGUUAAAUUUUAUUUGAAAUAUGCAACCAAUGAAUGCAGUAAUUAUAAAAAAUGCAGGUAAACGACCUUAAAUAGAUGAGUUUACAGAAGCGUUUAUGGGAAGGAUAAUUUAUUCAAUGGAUGAUUUAUAUUUGGAUUAUCAUAAAUUUUAACUUGCACAUGAGAGUAGAGAUCUAAGAUCAAUGAGAACUCCACUAGGAUUAUUUAAAAUGUGUACUCUGCUACAAGGUGCUACUAAUUGAGUUGCACAUAUGAUGAAUGGGAUGAACAAGAUACUAAGAGACUUCAUUCCUAAAAAAACUAUACCUUUUUUAGAUGAUAUUCCUAUCAAGAUGUAAAGAAGGAAAAAAAGAUGAAACUUUAGAUGAGAGGAGAUGUCGCAAAUAUGUUGUUGAUCAUAUACAAGAUUGUGAAAAGAUUUUAACUCGACUUGAAGAGGUUCAUCUUGAUUUUUCAGGAGUAAAAUCUACGUUUGGAGUACAGGAAGUUCUUAUUAUUGGGCAUUUGUGUGGAUUUUAUGGGAGAAAGCUAGAUGCAAGCAAAGUUGAUGCAAUUGGAAGGAUGAAAAAUUUAUGUGACUCUUUAAUAGAAGUAUGCAGAUUUUUAGGAGCUUGUUUAUUUUAUUGUAUAUGGAUUCCUCAUUAUAUUUAUAUAGCAAAUCCAUUGUAUGAAUUAUUACUUAAGGAUUAUCGAUUUAAAUGGAAAAGAAAGCAUACUGAAGCAAUGCAGAAGCUAAAGGUAUUAUUGGUGAUACCUCCAAUUUUAAGAAGAAUUGAUUAUAAUUGUAAUAGAUAAGUAAUUCUUUUUAUGGAUACUAGUCCUAAUGCUAUUAAAUGGACUGAGGGUCAAGAUGAUUCAAGUGGAAAUAGAUUUGCACUUCGAUUUCGAGCUAAAGUUUUAAGUACUCAUCAAUGUACAUAUUUGCAAGUCAAAAGAAAACUUUGGGGAGUUGUUUCAGCUAUAAAAGCUAAAAUGGAUUAUUUGAUUGGUAUAGCAAUAGUAAUUGAAACGGAUUGCUUGCCAUUACUUAGAAUGAUUACUUAUUGUUCAAUGUCGGAUAUUACAAUGUUAAGAUGGAUUUCUUAUAUUAAGUCAUUAAAUCCAAAAUUUAAGCAUGUUGCUAGAAAAGACAAUUUAGUAGUAGACAUGCUAUCUCGAGCAAGAUAUGAAAGAGAAGACGAAAUGGUUGAAGACAUUGAUGAUGUUGGAUCAAAAUUCUAUUCAAUAUCAAAUCUUAACAAAGAAAAGCUAUUUCUUGAAGAAUUUUAUGAAGGAGAAUUAUUAGAUAUUGGUCAUUACUUGAAUACCUUGACUAAGCAAGAAAAUUGGUCUACAGAAAAAUUUAAACAAAUAAGAAAAAAUGCAUAUGGAUUUUUGCUUCAAGAAGGAUUCUUAUGGAAGAGAUCAAAGAAAGGAAUUGGAAUGCCACAAAGAGUGAUAGGAAAUAAGGAAGAGAAACAAAAAUUAUUAAAGGGGUUUCAUGAUAGUUUAUGGGUAGGACAUAGAAGAAUUUGGGCUAUUUUUGCUAAACUUAAGGAACGAUAUUGGUGGAAAAAUAUGUAUCGAGAUGUGCUCUUAUUUGUAGAGUCGUGUGAAAUUUGUCAAACAUAUUCUAAUAUAUGACAUCGAGAUGGUCUUCAUUCUAUAUAUCUUCUAGCUAUUCAUUUUAAAUGGAUUGUUGAUUUGGUUAUUAUUCCAAUCAGGUUAUGGAAAAUGAGAUAUUUAAUCUUAGUUUGUAAAGAUUUAUCAAAUCAAGUAGAAGGAAGAGCAUUGAGAAUAAAAUCUACGAAAGAAAUUUGUAGAUUUUUGGUUGAAGAUGUUAUUUGUCGCUUCGGAUGUAUAGAAAAAAUCACUGCAGAUCGUGGAGAAUUAAAUGCACAAGAAGCUCAUGAAUUCUUUGAAAGAUGUAGAAUUAAACUAUCACUGACUACUGCUUAUAAUCCUAAAGGAAAUACAAAAAGUAAGCUUGGUCACCUACCAAUUGUGAAAGCAUUAGUUAAAGCUUGUAAUGGGAAGGUUAGAGAAUGGCCACAACUCUUGUCAUUUUUAUUAUGGACUAAUUGAACAACUCAUAGCUCAGUAAUGGGAUAUAUGCCUAUUGAGCUUAUGUCAGGUCAAAAACCAAUCAUGCUAAUUGAAGAAAAAGUACCUACAUGGAGUGUGCUACCAUGGGAAGAUAGAUUGAUAAGAGAAGAACUUCUAGCUAUUAGAAUUCAAUAAUUAGAACAAAUAUCAGAAGAUGUGCAAAUAACAUUAGAAAGGUUAAAAAGAGGUUACAAAACAAGGCAUGAUUUGAUAAACAGCAUUGAUUGAGGCCUAAAGUAAUUGAAGGUGAUUGGAUUUUGGUCUAUGAUAGUAGCUUAGAAAAUCAACAUAGUAUUUUAAGGGAGUUUUCUAAGCGAUGGUUUGGACCGUAUGUAGUUAUAACUAUUCAAUACAACUUAUUCAUUGUGGGAGUUAGAUGGAACAAGGUUAAAAAUAUCAAUUGCAAGGAAACGAGUAAAAAUAUUUAAACAAAGAUACACAAAAAUAAAUAUAGAAGACCUUGGUAAAGACAUAGAUAUUCCUCAACAAGAAGAGAAAUUUGACUUAGAUAGCAAAAGUGAACAAGAUGUUUUGGACAAAGACUUGGAGAACAUAUUAUAAAUCAAACAACAACUAGGUUUUUUGGUGUAUACCAAAGGAUGCAUAGGUUCAAAGGGGGUGGAAGUCGUAUUGUAACAUGACUAUAUGGUGAAAAUAUAAAUGAAAAAGAUUUAUUAAUAUUUAGUCAUCUUGGAUGUUAGAAACAGUGGCCAAUUCUAGUGCCAAUAUUCAGGGGCCAAUUAAUGUCACCCCAUUGCAAGCUGUACCACCAAACGUGACAACAAUGUAUGCUCCACCGGCGUCAUCAAACCAAGUACCCUCCGUACCAACGGGACGACCAAGAUCAUUUUCUAAUCCUACGUAGAACAAGCCUAGUAGGUAUAAACCAGUGGAGACAUCCAAUAUGACUGAUGGGGGUUCAAGAAGACCACUUCAUUGUUUUUAUUGUAGACAAAUUGGUCAUUAUGCUAGUGAAUGUUCCAAUCCCAGAGCCAGUGAUAAUUACGUGUUGUCGUAAUACGUGAAGUCUUGCUUGAGAAUACUCUAGGCACCUGGUUGUGGAAGGAAGAAUGGAAAUUGUAAUAGCAAAAUUCUAAUUCUAAUAGAAUACUAACAAUGCUCUAAUUAGACCAUAAUAAUACUAAGCAAGCUUAAUCAAAUUCAAAAAAACCUCAAAGAAAUUUCAAACAAACAAUAAGAAUUCUUAAAGAAAUAUUAGAAGGAUCACAAAUAUCACUCAAAUAUAUCUCAAUUCAAUCUUAAUUUAAUUCUAGUUAAAAUCCUAUUGAACUUCAUUAAAACUUUAGGCCAAAACUAAUUGAAUCUUAAAUCCUAAUAAAAUCCUAAAUCCUAAAUCAAAUCCUAAACAAAUCUUAAAUCAAAUCCCAACCAAAUCUUAAACCAAAUCCUAAACCCUAAAUAAAAUCCUAACUAAAUCUUAAACCAAACCCUAAUCCAAAUCCUAAUCAAAUCCUAAACCAAACCCUAAACUUUAAAUAAAAUCCUAACUAAAUCCUAAAUCCUAAAUAAAAUCCUAACUAAAUCCUAAACCAAAUCCUAAUUCAAAUCCUAAAUCCUAAAUCAAACCCUAAUCAAAUCCUAAAUCCUAAAACAAACCCUAAUCAAAUCCUAAUCCUAAACCAAAUCCUAAUCCAAAUCCUAAUCAAUCCUUAAACCAAAUCCUAACCAAACCCUAACCAAACCCUACACCAAAUCCUAGUAAUUACUAUAACAGAUUUAAACCUCAAUAACUAAUUAAUCAACCGUUGAUCUUAACUCAAAUUUUUCACACUUCUUAAAAACUAAGUUCAAAACAAGCAUAAAAAAAUUGAAAAGGAUCGGAGUUACCAAAUUAAUGAUAUCCUAAAAAAUGUGCUCGGGUAUUGGCCGGCCUCCUUCUCCAAUCUUGAUGUCAAUUUUCUAGAGCCAAUAUCUCUCCUUUACACCGUUCGAUUCAUCUCAAAAUUCUCAUAAAUAUAGAAAAAAGAGUCUAAUACCCUCUCACAUAAGUUUCACUCCAAUAAAACUAGUAGAUUUUACGAAAUCUUAAAAAACCCUACUAGACCUAAAAUUCUACUUUCUAAGACCUUGAUCGACUUAAACCUCAAUAUUCCUCAAUUCAACCGUUAGAUCAAGCUCAAAUUCACAAUUUAUAUUAAAAACAAAUAUAAUCAUAAACCCACGAAAUUCCACCCGUAGAUCUACUACAAAACUCUUGAAAUCACCCAAAACAUAAAUCCUAUUUUAUUUCAUAAAACCCAAAUCAUCUGAAACAAACCUUGAUUUUGCAAAGCUAUUACAAAGUCAAUACAGAUCCAAAUCACCCAAAAUCAACACCCAUAAAAACCCUAUUCAAUGUUCUAUCAAACCACACUCUUUGAUCUGCCAAAGAUUCCUUGAGUUGCCGUCAGAGCACGGUUUUGUGCCCUAGGGUCUGAUUUCGACCUAGGUUCAUAACCGGUCCUCUUCGGGUAUCAACUUUCGUCUUCUUGAGGUAGUUUUUACUGAUUUGCACUUCUAACUUCUUCCUACAUAUGCCUAUAUUCUUUAUUUUUCUAAUCUACCUUAUUUUGCCUUAUUUAUGGCCUUACAAAGUAAAUAGAAGCAUAGUUUGUAAAUAGGCAGUAUUAGCACCUUUAAUUAUUCUAUCCUUUGACUAAUAUCUAUUUUUUCAAGAUAAUUUGCUACAAAAUUUUUGAAGUGAGAUCCUCAAAACAUGAUAUUUUCUUCACCUUUUUACUUGUUAUACAUGUUAUAUCACGAAAAGCGCCAGUGUGUGGGAAUAGUAAGCAGUCAGGGCAUACUUAUUAGUAAUGUAAUGCUCCGUUCAAUUUCAAUAAUUGGGAUCAGCAGAUCCAAAGCCAAGGAAAAAUUUAGGAGAUCAAUCAAGCUCCUCAAGAUUCUCCGAUAAAUCAAGUGGAAUGUAUCUAAGCCAUUCUUACCAAGAGUCGGCAAAAGAAAAAAUGACCAAUUCAACAUUUGGGUGAUCUUGAUGUGAAGAGCCAAUUUGACCCAAUUAUGGAGACAUCUAAUUCUGGUCCUGUUACAGGCUUCUUACUCAGUAUGAGACCUGACUUGUUUGGACAACCCAAUGAGAUUCCAAAUAUGGAGGCUUCGGUUCCAUUUCAAGCUGUUCUGUUCUCUAUGCCAUUUUGGGGAAAACAUCCUUUCCAUGGAAAUAUCCUCUUAGAGGCGGGAAUUCCAUGGAAGCACAGCUUGUUGUUCCAAUUUCGAGUCCAGGGCGGAAGAAUUGGAGACCUUAUGGAAUUAAAGAAAAAGAAAGAAAAAAAAAGAGGGCAUUUGGAGAUCGAGAUUUUUGGGGUCGGAGAGCUAGCUUCAAGCUCCUUCGAAAGGUGUAAGACUUAGUUUCAUAGGAUUUGGGAGGAUUUUGCAAUCGUUGCUCAAAGCCAGUGUUUGUAUUGGUGAAUUGGAUGCAUAGGGUUUGGGAGGACUUACAACCCUUGCUAAAAGUCAGUGUUUGUAUUGGUGAAUUGGAUUUUUGUAAUAAAGUAAUGGCUAGUACUCUUGACUGUUUUAUGAAAUUAAAGAGACAUCUAUGGUUGAAAUUAUAGAAGUGUCUAGAUGAUUGAGUAUGCCAAGUGCAUGCAAAAAUUUGUGUUAAUCUAACGGUAUAGAUAGAGGAUAUUUGAUCAUUAGUGUAAAGAGGUAUUAGAAGUUAGCAUAUUGAAGUUGUUUAGGAUUUUUAUAAUAUCUAGAGAUCUAUCAGCUGGAAUAAGGUGAAUUUUGACGCAAUAAGUCAAGGACUUAAAGGCGGAGCUACACACAAAGUUUGAAUGAGAAUUAACGAUUAAAAAAGGAAAAAUUACAAGUUACAGUUUGUCAUCAACUUUUAGGCGGCGGUCAAGGGACAUUAGUGUGGAUUUACGGUAUUUUCUUGCAAUCUAUAAGUUGGAUUGGAUUGAACUUCUUGAUCAUUUAGAAGACUUGUAAAGACACUAGUGGUAGAAGUUUCACAACAAUUGGACAAUCAGAUUGAGAAUUACAGCUUACCGAAGCUCACUCUGUAGGAUUAGGGUUUAAAAAAUAAAUAAAAAAUAAAUAAAUAAAUAAAUAUAAUAAAAAUAAAACUAAUAAAUAAUAGAAAAAAUUAUGCUUAUUAUAUCUCGAAGUUAUUAAAAAUAUUGUUUCUAAGCACUUUAUAUUGGGAGUAAGCUUUUAUAUUGAAAUCCGAAAUAGUUUGUAUUUAGAUGGUUAAAACCUACUAGACUACUCGGAUACUUACAAAACAUCAUUUUAUCUUCUAUAGCCAAAUGUCUGGUGCGUUCUCAAGCAAGAUAAUAAGUAAUAUGACACCGUGAAGUAUGGAUUUCGAUUUGAAAUGAUGAUAUAAGGUAAUCCAUGGUAAAAAAAGAUAAUAUUGAAGAAGAUCCAUGCAAAAGCUAGGGCAUCAAUUUUUGAAUGUACCAUGGCUUAAUGAAGUUGCUUCAAGAAUUGAUCUACAAAGAUGGAAAUUAUCAUAUAAUUAUGAAGCAUGUACAACAAACAUAUAAUAAAAUCCAUAAUCACCAACUUUUAAAUGUUGUAGGUAGUGGAAUAGAUUGUAAUAAUCAAAAAGAUGCUACGUUCCAUGCUUUAAUAUGUUGACAUGACUUGAAAGAAUACACAAAAGCCUAAAUAUUACAAUUCAAACUUGUCUAAAAUCAUGACUUUGAGAUCCAUUUUAAUGUCUUCUCUUAUCCAUGAUGUCCAAAUAUUGGAAUAUGAUGUGCCUCUUGAAAUAUGCGUGUUUGGAAUAUAGCAUUAUUAGAUACAUAAAUCCACUUCUUGAAAUAAAACAAGCCAUCACUAAGACUAUAAUCUUGAUAUUGUGUAUUAUCCAUCUUUAGUCGAUUGCUAACUAUCUUGAAAUAAGUAUCUCAAUGCAUAGCUUUCUUCCAUUCUAUGUCUUUGAUUAGAUUUGAAAUAAUACUAUUAAUGGUAAUAACUUCUGUCUUAUUUUCUAAUUUAGCCUUCAAGUCUGGUCUUUGCAAUAAGUUGUCUAACACAAUAUAUUAUUUUUGUUGCUUAUAAUUAAGCUAUAUAUCAAAAAUCUGCAAUUAUUCUUUCCAUCUAUGAUGUGAUUUCAUAUUUUUUAGAUGCAAAUCAUAUAGCAAGGAUUGAUGGUCAGUUUGAACAAAUACUUGCUUCUCCAAUAAAUAGUAUUACCAUAUCUUUAUGGCAUGUACAAUCACUAAUUAUUCUUAAUCAAGUACAAAAUAAUUGUGCUAUUGUAUUGCAUACAGUCUUUUUUAAGAAUGACAUAUGUGGUUGUAGAAGAUAGAAUGGAAAUUUCUACAAUAAAAUCUUAAUUCUAAUAGAAUAUUAAAUAAAAUUUAAUUAAAUCUUAAUAACUCUAAAUAAGCUUUAAUUAAAUUCAAAAAGAAACCUUAAAGAAAUUACAAAAGAAACAAUAAGAAAUCCUUAAAAAAAUUGAAAGAAAAUCCACAAUAAACCUUAAAAGAAUUCUUAAAAAAUCCUAAAAAAUAUUAAAAUAAUCACAAAUAUAUCUUAAAUAAAUCUCAACCAAAUUCUAAUGUAAUUUUUAUUGAAACCUUAAUGGACUUCAAUCAAAUCCUAGACAAAUCCUAAAUCUUAUAUCAAAUCUUAGAUAAAUCUUAAAUCCUAAAUCAAACCUUAAAUCUUAAAUCAAACCUUAAACAAAUCCUAAAUCCUAAAUCAAAUCCUAAAAAAAUCCUAAAAUCUAAAAAAAAUUCUAAAAAAAAUUUAAAUCCUAAAUCAAAUCCUAAACCAAAUCCUAAUUCUAAACCAAAUUUUAACUAAACCUUAACAAACUCAAUCUAAUCCUAGUAUAGUUUAGAACCUCAAUAACUAUUAAUUAAAUCAUUGAUCUUACUUAAAUAUUUAUAUUAUUUUCAAAAACUAAGUUAACAACUAGCAUACACACUUAAAAAAUGGAAGAAAAAUCCUAAAAUCUACUUAGGUGUUGAUUGGCCUCCUAUUCCAAUGUGCAUAUUGAACUUCCAAUGCCAAUAUUUUUUUUUGAACUAUUUAAAUGUUUUUAAAUUUCAUAUAAAUAUAUAAAAAUCAAGUCUAUUAUCCUAUUAUAUAAAUUUUACUCCAAUCCAACUAGUAGAUUGCUAAAGAUCUUAAAAACCCUAACUACCUCUUAAAGUCCAAUUUUCGAGACCUCAACCUACUUGAAAUUCAAAAAACUUCAUGUCAACUAUUUGAUCAAGCUCAAACUCAUAAUAUAUACUUUAGAAAACUAUUCUCAUAAGUAUUUAAAAUUUAAACUAUAGAUCUAUUAACAAACUUAUGAAAAUUUUUAAAAUAUAAUAUCUUUUUUAUUUUAUAAAUUCCAAAGUUAUCCAAAACAACUAUGACUUUGCAAAGCUCUUGCAAAGUCAUUAUUCACUUAAAUCACUCAAAAUCAAUGUAUAAAAAAUCUCUUUCAAGUCUGCUCUUUAAUUUCACUCCUUGAUCUGUCAAAGAAUCCUUGAAUUACUAUAAGUGCCCAGUUUUGUGCCUUAGGAUCUGAUUUCGACCCAAAUUGAUAAUUGAUCCUCUUUAGGUAUCAAAUUUUUUCUUUUCAGUUAAUUUUUGCUAAAAUUAACUCCUAACUUCCUCCACAUUUUUUUAUAUUCUUUAUUUUUCUAAUCUACCUUGAUUUGUCUUAUUUAUGGCCUUACAAAGUAAGUAGAAUCCUUCUUUGCAAAAAAUUAGUAUUUACACUUUUAAUUUUACUUUCUUUUGGACUAUUUUUUAUUUUCUAAGAUAAUUUGCUACAAUAUUUGAAGUAAGUUCUUUUAUAAUAUAAUAAUUUUUUCAUCCUUUUCACCUAUUAGUUAUGUUAUAUUAUAACAAUGGAUGUAUAUAAACAAAGGUUUGAAGCUACUAUUUGGAUUUUGGUAAUAUUUUAAGAUUUGUAAAAAGUUUCAAAUUGAAAUUUUUUUUAAUAGAUGUUUAAAGUAUAUUAAUACUUCAUAUAAAAUUUGAAUUUUUUUGGAUAAUCUAAUUGUGAAAUAUCAGCUAUUGAAGUUUGGAAAAAAUUCCCCUUAAGGAUAUACAAGAUUUUAGAAUAUUUCUAUCACAUUUUGGAUAUUUUUUGGUACUUAGGACUUAUGUAUUAAUAUAAUUAUCUCUAUAGGGAUAAUUUUAUAUAUAAACUUGGUACUUUCUUUUCUUGAAAUUUAAUUAAAUAAUUAAUGAUAGUCAAAAGUCCAAUGUUAUCUUGAGGCAAACUCUCUCUACUUUAACAUCAUCAAUUGUAAUAAAGACAAAGUCAAAAUUUGAGUAUUUGAAAAAGAAUAUUUUUAUAAAUUAAUGAGUAUUUUUUAUAAUAAAAUAAUUUUAAGUAGUAAAAUAAAUAUCAAUGUUAAUUGAUUGUAAUAAAUGAACAUCAAUCUCUAAGCUUGUAGAAUAAGUAGUUAUUUUUAGAAUAUAGAUAUCUAGUGUAUAAUGUAAACAGGGAUAGAUAAUUGCUGAAAAGGUGGUUUAGUAGGUAGAAUGGAUGAAUAGUCAGGAAAAGUAGUUAUCAUCCAUAGUAUAGGAGUUGGUAUCUCGGGGUAGUAUAAGGAGGAUGGGAGAGAGGAAGAAAAUACCACACUGUGAUAGUUAUGAGAGAGGGACCAGAUUGCAAUAGUAAUGAGCCAGGAUAAGUUUGAUGCUAUCUCUUCUUCUUAGUUUUCUUGUUUCUUUUGUGUUAGUGUUGAUUCUAGUGAAGAGAAUUGAUUUAAUGAAUCAAUGUUUGAUUUAUGAAGUUGUUUAUGGAUCACUGUUUAUCAAUUGUUGUGAAAGAUUGAUGAUGUAUGGAAGUUUCGAGUCACUAUUUAUUGUAAGGUUGUGAGUUUAAUAGAAAGGAAUUGUAAUCGAAGGAAUUGUCUCAAUCAGAUUCUGUGGAUUGAAAGUAGUUCAUUUCAGGGUUUGGAUUAUGCUUGUGUGUUCGUGAAUUACACAGGGUACUGAAAUUGAUGUCGUGGUUGUUAUCGUAUUGAUAUGAGAGAAUGGACAGUAGGAGAAAAAGUUAAGUGUUCUUCGAUAUUCUAAGCAUUCAGUAGUAGCGGUUAAUUAUGUAACCCUAACAAUUGGAGCUCAUAUACAUGGUCUUUUUCUAGGUUCGAAUUCCCCUAUACGGGUUUAUUCUGGGAGGUUUCUUUCAGAAUAAGUAAAAUGACAAUCACAUUUUGGCACCAUUGUCGGGGAUUGACAAUAUUAUUGAGUGUUAGGAAUUAACUACCGAAGCAGUAAAAGAGAUUAAAAAACAAACUCAGUAGAAAUAAUAAAAGGGUAUGGUUAUUAAAAAUGAGAAUUUAACAGCAAAGAAAAUAAAGCAAUCAAAGGAAAGAACAAAGAGAUUGCAAGCAAGAAAUUUGUUGCAUAAUGAGCGAGAUCACAAAUUGAAAAAGAAGCAUCGACAAAGUUGGGUUAAGUUGUGGUUGCAUGCCUGUCGGCAUAUUCGAUCAUACUCAGAAGACGAUCGACCUCUAAUAUUUCAGAAGUACAUACUAUUAAAGAAAUUGCCAAUAGCACUCAUCGGGAGCAUUGCUAAUAGUCCAGCAUACCUCUCGAAGCCGUUAACAGAAAGCGAGGAAGGCACAGAGGAAUUAGGUACUCCAUUGGGUAUUUUCUCAAUUGGAGAUACGUCUGAUUUUAACAAGAUUGGUUCUGAAGAUUGGCAUAAAUCACUUGCCAAUAAAGACCAAUUUAGAGUAUAUAAAAAUCCAUUGUUUUCACCUCAUAUUCAACCAGUAAAAUUAUUUGGAGAUAAUAAUAGUCAAUCGGGAAGGCCUGGAAGUCCAAAAAAGACUUUUGCGGGAGAUAAUUUUAUUUUAAUAAGGAAUUGAGCAGAACACCGGCAUCUUUAAUAGCGUUCGGAGGAUCAGUAGUUUCAAUUACAGUCUAAAUGGAUGCAGUGGAAGAUCACACAACUAACGUGGCUCUAUUACCUACUUUUAGAGGUUUGCUAGAUGCGGAUCCAGAUCAACAUUUGUCUCAGUUUCUGACUAUAUGCGUAGCCAAUAAUGGCAGAAUUGAAGAUAUUUGGUCAAGAUGGCUGCCAAAAAUAUUAAAGGAUACAUCAUUUGAAUGGUAUAAUCGCUAGUCGGUCGGUCAAUUUUUUAGUUGGGAGGCAUUAAAAAAGACAUUUUUAACCCAUUUUUGAUCAAUUGAAUUUGAAGAGCGACUUAGGAAAAGAUUGAUAAAUAGCAAAAUGGUACCAAGAGAAGUGGUAUAAUCAUAUUAUGGCUGAGUAGCAGAUAUUCUUAGUAAAUGGCCAAAUAACCAAAUGUCUGAUUUGUUUAUUUUGUCCAUAUUAGUUAACGGACUUUACUCAUGAGAAUUAAAGUUAUUCGUGAAGGAGGCCCAAUCGACCAUUGUUGCUUCCUCACUAGCACGAGCAAAGGUGUGGGAAGAAUGUCACUAUGACCAAUUCUUAGCCAUUGGAGCUACAAUGAUUCCAUCUCAAGCAGGUUACUUAAUACCAAUUUGGAGUGAAACUAGGAACAAUUACCCAAGAAUGCUGGAUUACGGUGCAAACCUUAGUGUUAAUUCACAAAGAGCAGUGAAUGCUAUUCCAUUGCAGAACAUACCACCAACAAGUGUAGUGUCGUAUUUUCCAUACUUCCCAUAUCAAAAAGUAGUACCUGCAAAAGAAUUAUCAAGUCAAACUGGACCAAAGGAUCUAAUUGAGCCUUUGUUGAUAACUUUGACAAUGAAAAUGGAAGAACUGACUGUCAACUUAGCAAAAGACAAGGAAAAGAGGCAUAAACCACCCAAUAUGCAUCCCAAUAUCAGGUGCAGUAAUUGUAAGGGGCAAGGUCAUUUAGUAACAAAAUGUCCUUCACGACCUCAAAUGACUAUACAAUGUACCUUUUGCGUGGGCAAGCAUAUUACCACCAAUUGUUAGAAUUUACGAAAGCAACAACAACUCAAUGAUCAGAUAAGGAUCUAACCGACUUCGUGGGAUAUUAACCAAAUUCAAACAAAAAAUAGGUUUGGCUGGAACGGGAAUCGUUCCAAUAAGCCGAAUAGAAAUUUUUCUAAAUUUCAAAAUUCGAUAUACAAUCAGGAAUACGGAACUAAUGCUCAAGAAAUGGUACAAAACCAGCAAGGAUAUUUUCAAUAUCAACCCUUUUAGAAAUCAAAUUCGGAUUUUGUAGUACCAAUUGGAUAAUCGAGAUCAUUUACCCAUUUGACCUGAAAUAGGUCGAGCUAGUACAUCCCAGUGGAUACCCCCAAUAUUCUUGACGGUGUUGAAAGGAGACCACUUUGUUGCUAUAAUUGCAAACAAAUCGGACAUUAUGCGAGUGAAUGUGCUAAUCCAAGGGCCAGUGAUGACUAUGCUCAAAUAUGUGGAAAUUGUAAGCAGUCUGGUCACACGAAUCAGCAGUGCAAUGCGCCCUUUAAUUAUAAUAAUCGGGACCAGUAAAUAUAAACAAGUCAACUGGCGGAGGACAAAAGUCAUGUUCAACGGGACUCACCAAUACAUCUUGUCGAGGUAGUGAACAUAGAGCUUAUCAGAGGCCAACAAAAAGACAAGAAUCCAAUUCAGGACUUGGAUGAAUUAAUCACAGGAGAGCAAGUAGCGCUGUCUACAAACUAAACAAACCAAUAUCAGUAUUGGGACAUAUUCCAAUAAUGAGACCUCAACAGACUGAGGAAUCCAAUUCGGUUCUAUGUGCCAACUUGCCGAGACCAUCAAGAUCGAUUCCAACUGACCAAGUAUCAAUACCUGUACAGCCCAAUAAAAGAUCUUAUGUAUUAAAAGAAUCUUUAGUGAUAGAAAAGUUGGCAAAGUUAUCAAUGGUAAUCUCAAUUGCCAGGAAGAAAUUAUUGCCAAAUGGAAUAAAAUCAAAACCAAUGAAACGCAAAAGAGCUUUGAGAAUUACUCUCAAUAUCGAACUCUACGACAUUUUGAAGGAUUUGGAUGUUAUUCAGCCUUCAAUUACAAUGAAGCAACUUUUGGCUAUAGCACCGGAAUGUCGAUCUACAUUGAAUUCAGCGUUAAUACGAUGAAGAUCCCACACAAAAGACAUUCAUGAAGUUAGCUUAAACCCAAAUCUGGGAGCACCAACAAACAAUGUAUCAAUCGCUGGCAUUUUAAUUCCAAUGAUACAAGUCGAUAGUAGCUCCAGUGUGAAUUUAAUGAACGUGGAUACAAUGGAGGACUUGGACCUAAAGCAAUUGCUACUUACGACAUUGGUCUUGCAAAUGGCUGUCACGGACACAGAAUACAGACUUAAAAUCUAACAAGAAAUUCAAGAAGAAGUGGCAGAACUAGAUUAAACAGAUGAGUACAAGAACAACACCAGAAAGGUGAGCUAGAAUUCCAAGAGAUCUGUUGUCGAGACUGAAGAACCCUUCAGCCUCGGCUCCUAUAUAUACUACUGAAUAGGAAGCUUCUCGAGCUACUUCCGCUAACUAGGACGCUUCUCCAACAACUUCUACUAAUUAGGAAACUUCUCGAGCAACUUCCUAGAAUCUAUCAGAAUAUUCUAGAAUCUUCUAAGAAUAUUCUAGAACCUUCUAAGAGAAUCUUUAGGGAAUAUUCUAAGAAUCUUCUAUAACCUUCUAAAGGAAUCUUUAGAUAAUCUUUAGAGAAUAUUCUAGAAGAAUAUUCGAAGAAUCUUCCAAUGUAUGUCCAUGACAUCACCUCCUCUUCUAACUUCGAGGUCUCCGAGAAGCAAUGUUGUUAUCAGUCAAUACCAACGCAAGAAAAUGAAAAUCUGUCGCAUCACAUCCGCUAUGAAUUCUAAUUGUUGUUCGCGAGGCAAAUGAUUCAUCGGCCCUUGGAGCCAACGGUAGUGACCAACACCUUCAACCUCUGACUAAGCGUGGACUUCUGUGUCUUCAUUGUGAAACUGUCCUCCAAACACACCUUCUGGCUGACCGUCGUAGGCAGACUCGACCUCAAAUACAAUUACUAGCGAUCUGUUGCUCGGUAUCCUCCGACGUCGUCGUGGUACAGGCGGUUCUUCAUCUCGCGGUCGUCUUCGUGAGCUAGUCGCUUGAGAUGACAUAACAAGUGUAGUAUCUUGACUAUCCAUGUCCAAAGGCUAAAAUGAUGAGAGCAAACUAUAGUUGCUAACAAAGUUCUACACUAUCGAACUAUGGGUUUUGGAAGUGCCCUCCCCCCUUUUUAUGCUACUUGAUGAGCAAGCUUCAGCAAGAAGCUAUCGUUGAAUCGGCUUAGGUUUAUGAGGAUAUCGUUGAUGAAAUUCUUGUACCUUUUUUGGUGCAUUGGCAAGAUUUUCGGCACGCUCCCACGUUCGCUCAUUGAUGUCGUAUCCACUCCAAUGCACUAAAUACUCCAAUUUUCUCCUAUUACGCCGUGAAUCUAGUACCUUUUCCACCUCGUAUUCCUCAUGGUUUUCAAUUUCGAUACUUGGUGGCGGACUUUGUACUCUUUGGGGAAAAGCUGACUCUCGAUAAGGUUCCAACAAAGAUACAUGAAAGACAGGAUGUACCUUCAUAGUAGCUGGUAACUCCAGACGAUAUGCCACCAGAUUGAUCUGCUUCCCGAUAACAAAUGGUCCUAAUCUCCGAUAGUCCAAUUUGUCACAUGGCCGCUUAGUCUUGAUAUUCCGUCGAAGAAGCCAUACUUUACUUCCAACUUUAAAAGUAGGCGCCUCAUUUCGAUAUUUAUCUGCAGAUGCCUUGUAACUCUCUUGGGCAGAUUGCAAUUGAAGCUUCAAUGUCGCUUGAAGCUCCGAUAGUUGCUUCACAAAUCCUUCAGCUGCUGGGUUGUUAUUUGCUGAAGAACUCAAUAAAUCGAACUUGGGGUGGUAUCCGUAGUUGGAGAAGAAUGGUGUUUGUUGAGUUGACGCAUGAAGAGUGUUGUUGUAUGCGAACUCAGCAAGCAGUAGAUAUGCAGUCCAAUCAUCUUAUUGAUAGUUGAUGCUGCAUCGUAAAUAUUGCUCCAAAACUUAAUUCACCCGCUCCGUUUGACCGUCAGUUUGAGGAUGAAAAGCCGAAGAGAGCUUAAUAUCCACCUUCAAUAUCUCAAAGAGGGACCUCCAAAACUUGGAUACAAACUGAGUACCUCGAUCCGACACGAUAUCAUCUGGUAGGCCAUGAUAACGAUAUAUGUUAUCAAGAAAGAGUCUUGCGGUGUCUUCACUUGACGAUGUUUUCUUGCAAGGUACGAAAUGCGCCAUCUUUGUAAAUCGAUCCACCACAACAAAGAUGCUGUCAAAUGAAUUCGAUGGCGGUAGGUCCGUAAUGAAGUCCAUAGAAACUGAAGACCAUGGUCGGUGCGGAAUAGGCAAUGGCUGGAGAAGUCCAUACGGACGAUGUCGAGGGAUCUUGAAUCUUGAACAAACAUCACAAGAAAGGACAAAUUCCUUCACAUCCUUCCACAUUUGGGGCCACCAAAAAUCUCGUGAAAUGAGCUCCAAAGUCUUGUUGAAUCCAAAAUGUCCCGCAGUUGGAAAGUCAUGGCAAGAUUGAAGUACUCGGAGUCGAGUUGGUCCUUUCGGGAUAUACAACCGCUCCUCAAAAUACAGAAGAUCUCCCUCCACCUUAAACUUGUCAUUAUCGACACGUUGUUUGAUGUCAAGAGCUAUAGAAUCCUCAAUGGUCGCAGUACGUACCUUGCUGAGGAAGCCGUCAUCGAUAGUUGCAACAGUAGCAAAAAUCCUGAAUUUUCCUAGUUUCAACAAUGUUGUACAUUGUUGAUCAAACGCUGCUUCUCCAGCCUUUGGCGCAAGAUAUGAUCUCCUCGAUAAUGCGUCAGAUAAUCCUUGCUGUUUUCCAGGGCGGUAUGUGAUAAUAAAGUCAAAUCGUGAUAGAGACAUAUUCCAUCGAGCUUGACGACGAUUCAAAAUUCGAGCUGUCAUGAAGUACUCCAAAUUCUUGUGGUCCGUAUAAACAGUCACUGGAUGUGCAGCUCCUUCGAGGAAGUGACGCCACUCUUGGAAGGCAUCCACUAUAGCAAGCAGCUCUUUGUCGUGGAUCUCGUAGUUGAUCUCAGCAGCAGAGAACUUUCGUGAAUAGAACACAACUGGGUGAAGCUUCUUGUCUAUGCCCAUCUGUGAAAGCACAGCUCCCAAAGCAAAAUCUGAAGCAUCGGUCUCUAAAUAGAAAGCCUUUGCAAAGUCAGGGUGUACCAAGAUUGGAGCCGUAGUGAAUGCCGUCUUGAGAUCUUGAAAUGCUUUUGCUGCUUGUGAUCCCCAUUCGAGCUUGUCUUUGCUUGUUAGACGCGUGAGUGGUGCAGCAACUUGAGAAUAAUUCUUGAUGAAGAUCCGAUAGAAGUUAGCAAAUCCAAGAAAACACUGAACAUCUCUAACCGUCUUCGGAACUUCCCAAGAUAUAAUUGCUUCUACCUUUUUUGGAUCCAUCUUCAAGCCCUCUGUAGUCGCAAUGAAGCCCAAAAAUUCCAUCUCAUUCUGGUGAAAUUGACACUUCUCCAACUUGGCGUAGAGUCCUCGUUCGCGUAGUUUUUCAAGAACCAAACAAACGUGCUUCUCAUGUUCUUCUUCAUUCUUGGAAAAUAUCAAAAUAUCAUUCAGAUAGAUGACAACAAAGUCAUCAAGGUACUUCCGAAAGAUGUCGUUCAUCAUAUGCUGAAAGACCGCUGGAGCAUUGGUAAGACCAAAAGGCAUGACAUUGUACUCAAAAUGGCCAUACCUUGUACGAAAGGCUGUCUUCCAUUCAUCUCCUUCUUUGAUUCGCACAAGGUUGUAGGCUCCUCUUAAAUCAAUCUUUGUAAAAAUCCUUGCACAUCCAAGUUGAUCUAAGAGGCCGGAGAUCAAAGGUAAGGGAUAGCGAUUUUUCUUGGUCACCUUGUUGAGUCCUCGGUAGUCCACACACAUCCGCAGUGAGCCAUCCUUUUUCUUCACGAAUAAGAUUGGUGCUCCAGCUGGGCACUUUGAAUGUCGAAUAAAAUUCUUGGCUAGAUUCUCAUCGAUGUACUUCCGCAAUUCUGCCAACUCCGUCUGCGAUAGGUUGUAUAUUGGACCAAAAGGUGGUUGCGCUCCUUCCUCUAAGUCUAUGGCGCAAUCAUAUGGUCGAUGUUCCGGCAGUAUAUCGGCGUUCUUCUUCUGAAACACGUCUUCAAAAUCCCUAUAUUGCUCUGGUUUAUUCGAUGUUGAGAUAUUCUCGUCGCUAGUUGGAGCUGCAUAAAUGACAAAUGGUGCGCCUUUCUUGGACGAUCUUAGGAACGCUCUCGCUCCAAUAAACAUGGAUUUCUUCAUAUAGGUUCUACCAACAGGUUUAUUAUUAUUUUUUUCAGGAAAUGUUAUCCUUCGUAGCCUCCAAUCAAUGGACGGAUUAUGAUCUUUUAACUAAGAAAGACCAAGGAUAACAGGGCUUGAUGGGGUUCUAAUAAUAUUAAAAAUAACGUGACUACUAUGAUCCUUAAACACCACUUCUAUAGGUUCUGAUUCGUGGAUAACGUUGCCUGACAAUAAGGGUUGUCCAUCUAUCACCUCUACGUGAACAGGUUUGGACUUCUGUACUAAACGGAUCUUGUGGCGUUUAGCAAACUCUUCAUCUGAAAAACAAGUAGAUACCCCCGAAUCCAAUAAAGCUAAAGUUUUUUGUUUUUGAGGGCCUAAAAACAAAGGAAUUGUAAAACAACGGGCAGGUUGGACAGAGAAGGAGGAACCUGAUUGUUGUCGUGAUAUUAGAUUGUCCAGUCGCACGGUUCCUACUGUGGCUGGGCGUCGUCGUUUUUCAGAAUCAUCGCACUUCUAGUCUUGACAGGGUGCCAAUUUUGCUUCUUUGGGCAAUUUCCAACCUUGUGACCUUCUUCUCCACAGUACAAACAUAACCCUUCCUCCAUACGCCGUUUCUUCUCUGUUGGAGUAAGAGAUCGGACACGCGCCGUGUCGAUUUACAUGUCUGUUGCCUCCGAAUGUGAGUUUAAGCUAUUUGCAGACAUAGUCACGUCGUAACGAGUCAUUUGGUGUCUUGGACAUUGGUCUUGGUGACGCUGGAAUAGGCGGUUGUCACACUUUACAGCUUGGCUAAUAGCUUCGUUGAGCGUUUGAGGAUCAGGAAGAGAUAACAGCAAGUCCUUCACAUCAUCCUUCAAGCCCCAAUAAAACUGACUCACCAACGCCUCUUCACCCCAAUUAAUGUCACUUGCCAAUUGUCUGAAAUCCGAGGCAUAGACUGAUGCAAAGCGUGUUCCUUGUCGUAGCGAUCGGAUCUUUGUUGUAGCCCAUCGAACUUUAUCAUGCUCGCCAAAUGCUUCUGCAAACGCCUCCAAGAACGUUUCAAAGUUGCUCAGGAUUGGCGAUCGCUUCUCGAACAAGGGAGUAAACCAAGACAGAGCUUGUGCUGUAAGCAAGGUUCCAACAAGCCCAACACGCGCUUCCUCCGUCGGAUAACGUUCAGGCUGUAAAAUUGUUAUCAACCUGAUUUGGUUGACAAAACCUCGAAACUUGGAACGAGUUCCAUCAAACUUAUGCGGAAGACUAACUCGAGGCUCCUUUUGUUGUAGGACUACUCGAUCUUGUUGAAAUGGAGGUAGAACUGCUUCUUCUGGCGCAGAAGUUUGAGGCUGAUAUGCUUUAGAUGGCGCUAUCCCAGAUGCUCCAUUGUUAUGGAGUCCUACCAUGACUCCUUCGAUCUCUGUUGUCCUAUGUGACAACAAGGCAAGAGUAUUUAUGAUGGCGUCUAGUUUGGAUUCCAAACUUUCAGCCAUUUUAACGUCUUAACCUUCGGCUAACCUUCAGAAAGAAGAAAAAAGAGUUUUGACAAGAGGACAAUAUUGGUUCAGAGGAGAGUACUCCGCAACCUCUAAAACGCCUUAAGACUCCAAGAUGAGGGGUAAUCCACUCUCUCCAAGAAGAAUAAGGCUCCAAUAUUGAGAAAGAAGAGAUAUCAGUUUAGAGGAGGGUAAUCCGCAACCUCUAAAACACUAGCACACCUUCAAGAAGAGGGGUAAUCCACUCUCUAACAAGAAGGAACUAGCUCUGAUACCAGUGAAAAUGCAGUCUCGACAAACUGUCACGGACACAGAAUACAGACUUGAAAUCUAACAAGAAGUUCAAGAAGAAGUGGCAGAACUAGAUUAAACAGAUGAGUACAAGAACAACACCAGAAAGGUGAGCUAGAACUCCAAGAGAUGUGUUGUCGAGACUGAAGAACCCUUCAGCCUCGACUCCUAUAUAUACUACUGAAUAGGAAGCUUCUCGAGCUACUUCCGCUAACUAGGACGCUUCUCCAACAACUUCUACUAAUUAGGAAACUUCUCGAGCAACUUCCUAGAAUCUAUCAGAAUAUUCUAGAAUCUUCUAAGAAUAUUCUAGAACCUUCUAAGAGAAUCUUUAGGGAAUAUUCUAAGAAUCUUCUAGAACCUUCUAAAGGAAUCUUUAGAUAAUCUUUAGAGAAUAUUCUAGAAGAAUAUUCGAAGAAUCUUCCAAUGUAUGUCCAUGACAAUGGUAGAUCAUAGUUGGGUAAAGCUAAUGAGAAUCUUAUGCAAUAUUGCCACUAUAAUUGUAGAAUUGACAUACAAAAUCGAUUAUAUUAUAUUUCGAUUACAGAGUUCUACGUUGUCGUAAUGUAAGAAGUCUUGCUUGAGAAUGCUUCGGGCACCUAGCUGUAGAAGAAAGAAUAGAAAUUGUGAUAACAAAAUCCUAAAUAGAAUACUAACAAUGCUCUAAUUAGACUAUAAUAAUGGUAAACAAAUGUAAUCCAAUUCAAAAAAACUCAAAGAAAUUUCAAAUAAACAAUAAAAUUCUUAAAGAAAUAUUAGAAUGAUCACAAAUUUUAUUCAAAUAUAUGUCAAUUCAACCUUAAUUUAAUUCUAGUUAAAACCCUAUUGAAUUUCACUCAACUUUAGACCAAACCUAAUUAAAUCUUUAGCCCUAAUAAUUCCUAAACCCUAAGUCAAAUCCUAAACAAAUCUUAAAUUAAACCCUAUUCCAAACCCUAGACCCUAAACCAAACCCUAAAUCAAACCCUAAACCAAAACCUAAUCCAACCCUAAACCCUAAACCAAACUUUAAAUAAAAUCCUAACCAAACCCUAAAUCCUAAUCCAAACCCUAAUCCAAAUCCUAAUCCAAACCCUAAUCCAACCCUAAACUCUAAUCCAAAUCCUAAACCCUAAACCAAACCUUAAAUCAAACUCUAAUCCAAACCCUAAAUCAAACCCUAACCAAAUCCUAAAUCCUAAUCUAAAUCCUAAUCCAAACCCUAAUCCAACCCUAAACUCUAAUCCAAAUCCUAAAUCCUAAACCAAACCUUAAAUCAAACCCUAACCAGACCCUAAUCCAAAUCCUAAUCCAAACCCUAAAUCAAACCCUAACCAAAUCCUAAAUCCUAAUCCAAAUCCUAAUCCAAACUCUAAUCCAAACCCUAAACCGAAUCCUAGCCAAACCCUAAUCCAAAUCCUAGUCCAAACCCUAAUCCAAACCCUAAACCGAACCCUAGCCAAACCCUAAUCCAAAUCCUAGUAAUUCCUAUGACAGAUUUAAACCUCAAUAUCUAAUGAAUAAACCGUUGAUCUCAAUUCAAAAUUUGCAUACUUCUUAAAAAUCAAGUUUAAAACAAGCAAAAAAAAUUUGAAAAGGAUCGAAAUUACCAAAUUGACGAAAACCUCAAAAAUGUGUUCGGGUGUUAGCCGGCCUUCUUUUCCAAUCUUGUUGCCAACCUUCCAGAGCCAAUUUCUCUUCUUUGCACUAUUCGAUUGGUUUCAAAUUUCUCAUGGACAUAGAAAAACAAGUCAUAUAUCUUCUCACAUAGGUUUUACUCCAAUCCAACCAGUAGAUUGCAUGAAAUCUUAAAAACCCUCAUUGGACCUAAAAUUCUACUUUCUGAGACCUUGACUCACUCAAACCUCAAUAUCUCUCAGUUCAACCGUUAGAUCAAGCUCAAAUUCACAACAUUUAUUUAAAACAACUAUAACCAUAAAUCCAAAACAAUUUACCCAUAGAUCUGCUACAAAACUCUCGAAAUCACUCAAAACAUAAACCCUAUUUUAUUUCAUAAAACCCAAGUCAUCCGAAAAAAACCUCAACUUUGCAAAGCUCUUACAAAUUCAUAUCAACUCCAAAUCACCCAAAAUCAAUGCCUAUAGAAACCCUGUCCAAUUUUCUCUCAAAUUCCACUCUCCGAUCUGCCAAAGAGUUGCAGAGUCGUCGUCGAGACUUGGUUUUGUGCCUCAGGAUCUGAUUUCGACCCUAGUUCAUAACCGGCCCUCUCCAAGUAUCAAUAUCUAGUUUUUCUAAGUAACUUUUUUCUAGAAUUUACUCUUAACUUUCUUUUAAAGAUUCCUAUAUCAUUUAUUUUCCCAAUCUACUUUGAUUUUCCUUACUUAUGGUACUACAAAGUAAGUAGAAGUCACCUUUCUAGAAGGCAGCAUUGAUACCUUUUAAUUUUUCUACCCCUUUGGCUAUUAACUAUAUUUCUAAGAUAAUUUGUUCUAAUACUUUGAACUAAGAUCUCUUAAAUUAUAAUAAUCUCCACACUCUUUCACCUAUUAAUUGUGUUACAUCAUGACAACGUUAUUGUAUCCUAUUUUAUUAGGCAGACCUUGGCUUUAUCAAGCCAAAGCUAAGAAUGAUUAGAGCCGAGGCACAUUGACAAUUGGAAAAGGCUAUGACCAGAUCAUUCUAUAGAUAUAUCCGGUAAAAUAUCAUGGAGAAUCUCAAUUUCUAAAAUUAAAAUUUAUAUCGAACAACGAGAGUCAAUCGAUUGAGAAAGAUGACGAUGCUAUAGGUUCACUGCAAUUUGAGGUAGGACAAAACACUUCAACAGCAAAAGCAAGAGUCUACCAAUGUCGAGGUCCCGACAAAUAUUUACUACAUCAGGAAGAUGCAGCAAACUCCGAUCAUGCUAUUGCCUAAUGGAUGAACAAUCCUUCAAUCAAUAGAGUCAACACAUUGGAACCAAAAUUGGAUAGUUUCUAUAUGUCGGAUAAUAUAAGAUAUUCUGAUCAGGAGAAGACAAUUAAAUGAGAGGUUGUUGAAGACCUUGUGUAUCAAUCCAUUAACCUAGGCACCAACGAAAUACUACAACUAAUUAAAAUAUAUGUCGAUAUUAUAGGUAUAGAAUUGGAUGCUUGGAAACAGUUUUUUAUCCGUCACAAAUCUACCUUUACAUAGUCGUAUGCAGAUUUGAAAGGGAUUCCAGCAAACGUGUGUGAGCACCAGAUUAUUUUGGCGGAAGGUGUUAUGCCAGUUCAUCAAAGACAACAGUGGCUUAACCCAAAAUAUUUCCUUUUAAUGAAAGAAGAAUUGGAUAAACUUCUCGAAGUAGAUUUUAUUUAUCCUGUUCCGCAUAGUGUAUGGGUGUCGUCAAUCAUGAUGGUACCGAAGAAGAAUGGAAAAAUCAGGAUAUGUCAGGAUUUUCGAAAGUUAAAUGCAGCUACUAAAAAGGACUAUUUUCCAUUACCAUUUAUGGACAGUAUUUUGGACGUAGUAGCUAGACAUGAAUGUUACUCAUUUUUGGACGGAUUUUUGGGAUAUAAUCAAAUUAAAAUUACCAAAGAGGACCAGUUGAUGACUAUGUUUACCAUAGAUUGGGAUACAUUCACCUAUAAAGUAAUGCCAUUUGAAUUAUAUAAUGCCCCGACUAUUUUUCAAUAGGUAAUAACACAAGCGUUUCAAGAUUAUCUACAUUUAUUAAUAGAGAUAUUUCUAGACAAUUUUUGCACAUUUAGCACAACGGCUAAAUAUCUAGCAUGUGUGGAUAACUGUUUGAAUCAAUGCGACAAAUAUGGGAUAUCUCUAAAUUUGGAGAAGUGUCAAUUGGUAUACUAUCGAGAAAGCUAUUGGGACAUAUUGUCUCUAUUGAAAGUAUCGCUAUAGACCCUCAUAAAGUUAUUCAUAUAUUGGAUUUACCAAAGCCAGAUAUGGUAUUGGGCAUAUAUGAUUUCAUUGGCUAUAUCAGCUACUAUCGGCGUUUUAUUGAAUCCUUUGUGAUUAUCUGUCAAUCGUUAAUCAACUUGUUGAAGAAACCCCCAUCAGACGGAUUUAGUCCAAUAUGGACUGAAGAUUGUACUUUUACAUUCGACAAAUUGAAAUGGAAAUUGGUAUUUGCCCCAAUUCUUGUAACACCUUGUUAGACAAAACCAUUUCAUGUCUAUGUAGAUGCAUCCAAUAUUGCUAUUGGAUCUAUUUUCAGUCAAAAGGAUGAAAAAAAAUUAGAUCAUUCUAUAUAUUAUGCGAGUCCACAAUUCAUUGUUGUAGAACAAAAUUAUAAUACUAUCAAGCGAGAAGCCCUCGAAAUGAUCUACUCUAUAUAGAAAUUCCACCACUAUCUACUUGGAUACCCAUUUGUGUUCCACGUUGAUCAUGAUGCGCUUAAGUACAUGAUAAAUAAACCUCAAUUGAGCGGACAAAUUGCUCGAUGGAUAUUACUUCUCCAUGAAUUCAACUUUACGAUUAAUGUUCGACUCGACAAGAAACAUGCCAAUGCGGAUCACUUAUCCUGUUUAUCUAAUAUAUUGGAUAAUGAGCCGAUAAACGAUGCUCUUCCGGAUGCACAACUAUUUGUUGUGGAUGUCAUUACACCUGAAUAUGGUGAAUUGAUCUAAUAUCUAAUGUUUCAGACUUUUUUAAUUUUUUAUAAUGAAAAAUUAAAGAAGCAUCUGAUUUUAAAAAGUGUGCCAUAUACCAUCAUUGGAGAUGCCUUGUACAAACAAGGGCAGGAUGGAAUUUUACACCGUUGCAUCUUUCAAAGUGAAGUUCGUACAAUUUUGGAAGGAUGCCAUUUGGAUAGUUGUAGAGGACAUUUUGUAGGUGAUAGCACCACAUGUAAGGCUUUAAUGGCUGGAUAUUGGUGGCUAACAAUUUUUUCGGAUGCACACCAAUAUGUUUGUCGUUGUGAUCCUUGCCAACGAUUUGGUCACCCUACUGGAACUUCUGCAAUGCCAUUGGUACCAAUUUUGGCACAUGCACCAUUCGAAAAAUGAUGUAUUGACUUUGUAGGAUCCAUUGCACAUGCCUCUCAAAAUGAACAUAAACGUUAUAUUCUAAUAGCCAUCGAUUAUGUCACCAAAUAGGCAGAGGCCAUGGCAACAAAAAUUGAUAAUUUCAAUAUCAUAGCAACAUUUUUAUAUGAGAACAUUAUUACUCGUUUUGGCUGUCCGAAAGAAUUGGUUAGUGAUUGCGGAACACAUUUUAUUAAUGCAACAAUUGAACCACAGAACUACACCUUAUCAUCCACGAGCCGAUGGGCAGACAGAAAAGACCAAUAGUAUCUUAUGUAAGAUCUAAAAAAGACUAUUUUAGGAGCGGGAACCGAUUGGGACACUAAAUUAUUCAUAGCUUUAUGGGCGUACCGUACUGCGUAUAAAAUAACUACCAAUUCUAUCCCAUUUUAAUUGGUAUAUAGUCAGGAGGUAAUUCUACCAAUUGAAUUGGAGGUCCAAAGUUUACGAAUUAUAUUGGAUGAAUGUAUGGGAGACAGAGAAUUUCUUCAAUAUAGAUUAGUCCAAUUGCAAAAAUUGGAUAAAGCUUGAGCUACAGCUCUCUUGAUCAUGGAAGCUAUAUAGCGUUGUAGAAAGAGUUAUUAUGACAGUAAAUUACGACCAAAAUAUUUUAUGCCUAAUGAUCUGGUGCUACUUUAUGAUAGCCGCUUUAACAACUUUCUCGAUAAAUUUCAAGUACGAGGGCAUGGACCAUAUUAGGUGGUGGAAGGUUUCCCUAAUCGUUCAAUUCAAUUGGAAGAUUUUGUGGGAACCCACUUCACAACACGCGUUAAUGGGAAUCAGUUACGUCUGUAUUAUAUGUAAACCUGAGACGGAUUUACUCAAUGGCGGGAGGGAGUCUCUGUAAUAAUGAUUACUCGACAUGAUUGACAAGGUUAUGAUAGCUAGGAAACGAUUAAUGGUUAGUUUUGGGUACUAAAACUGACUAGUUAGGAAAUUAGACAUUCUUGAUUAGAUGUGAGAUUAAAGUACAUUGGAUUAGACAUUCUUGAUUCGGACACCGAGUAAGCAAUUAGGAGCGUGGCACUCAUAGAAGGUUUCAUUGUUGUAAAUUUUAGACAUUGUGCUUUGAACUCUAAGCUUUACGACAGUAAUCAGUAAUAGUGUUAGCACAAGGAAGUAUUGAGAGUUUGAUUUUCACAAUGUCGAUGGAAAAAGUGAAGAGAGUAUCGAAAUGAUCGGAAAGUCACCGUAAUAUGAGGUCUAAGUGUGAUCUGAGAUCGUCGUCUCUUGUAGUUAUCACCAACAUGGAACCGAUGAAGUUAGAUAUCUAUUGGUCAUUGAAAAGGAAAUUUUUUUUUAGAAAUGCACAGUUAUUUACAUUUUUACGAGGAUCGAAUAAACUACCACCAAUUGAUAUAGAACGAGUGGCGGAAUAUAUAAAAAAUUAUGAUCUAGAGGAUGGUUCAAGUGUGGUAAGAGGAGUCCUGAUUGGGAUAGAUGAAAAUAUCUUACACAAGGUCUUGCAUUUAUCAAUCGGAGAGCUUGAGGUGGGAGGAGACCCAUCACAUGACUUCAAGCCAAGAAGCUACUUCAAAGGAGGGAUGUCAUCUCUCAAGCAAAAUCAAGGAUGGAAGGUACAGGAGGCACUUACGCCCGAACUUAUGAAAUGGAUAUGGUUCAUUCAGAAGCAGUUAACAUUGAAUCGGCAUACCACCUACAUGGCGAAGCAAUUAUUAUUUUCCGUGAUAGGAACACUGGAAGGCAUAGUAUUCAAUUGGACAGCUUAUGUGGCCACAAGGAUACAUGCAAAAAUGGAAGCUAAGUGGAAGACAAGGAAGUUUGUUUCACUAUUAUAUUCUAAUUAUGUAAACUCAGUGAUUGAUUAUACAUUGAAACAAGAAUCUCAAUCAGUAGUUCCAAGUUUACAAACGGGAACAGUUAGUCAAGGGGUAAUGGUGUAUGAAGUGGAAGAAUCCAGCACAGCGGCAGAACGAGAAGUAAGACCAAUAUCUACACGAGAGCGAGUUCUAAUUCGACUGACAAUAGAGAUGACAACACCAAUAUCAGUUCCAAGAGAAAGCAAUCAAUUAGGUUUCAACGGGGUAUAAUAGAAGGGUGGAAUCUUAAAGAAGUUAUAUUGGAUCAAAUUUCCUAACUGCAACUUACGGUGAGUAAGUUCGAAGAUGAGGAUAGCUUAAAAAGGCAAGUAAAAGUGAGCAAGAAAAUAAUAUUGGCACAAAAUUAUAAAAUUAGGGAAUAGGAACAAGUCAUCAAGGUAGAAUCGAAUUCGAAGAUGCGAGUGAAGCGUGAAUUGGAUGAAAGAGUGGAAAACUGAUCAAAGGAGAAAUAGAGGAUUCAGCAUAUCUUGGAAAAUCAAAGGCAAGAAUUACUAUAAACUCACAAAUCAUAUAGAUUGGAACAGGAGAAGAUGAACACUCAAUUGAAGAUAGAACGAGAGAAGAACGAGGCAUUGGAGCUUGAAAAGAAACAAUUGGGUGACCAAUAUCGAAACAAAACAGAUGAGCUACAGGCAGAAAUUAUUGUUUUGAAUGAAACAGUAACAAAAUUGGAGACUAAUUUGGUCAAAAUUGGUCAAUCAUAGACAUCUGCUUCAACAGGAGUAAGAAUUGGAAAAUUGAAGGAGAAAUUGCAAUAGCAGUAGCAACAACUAGAAGCUAAAGAUGCCAAAAUAUUCCAAUUGGAAGCUCAGGUUCGAGAAUUGGGAGCAUAUAAUGAAGAUUUAACAGCUCAAUUAAGGGCAGAGAUUCAAGAUGAGUCGAAGGAAGAAGAUAUAGUGUUGGAACAAGACCAAAUGGAGCCAACAUUAGAAAUUGAAGAGAUUAAACAAUCUAGUUAAAAAAAAAAAAAAAAAAAAAAAAAAAAAAAUAGUUUUUGUUUAUCAAUACUAUGUUUGCGGGGACGCUGCACAGUUUGGAGUGGGGCUAUGUAGAAUAAGUAGUUAUUUUCAGAAUGUAGAUAUCUAGUAUAUAGUGUAAACAGGGAUAGAUAACUAUUGAAAAGGUAGUUCAGUAGGUAAAAUAGAUGAAUAGUUAGGAAAAAUAGUUAUCAUCUAUAGUAUAAGAAUUGGUAUCUUGGGGUAAUAUAACGAGGAUAGGAGAGAGGAAGAAAAUGCUAGACUGUGAUAGUCAUGAGUGAGGGGCUAGACUGCAAUAGUAUUGAGCCGAAAUAAGCUUGGUAUUAUCUCUUCUUCUUAGUUUUCUUGUUUCUUUUGUGUUAGUGUUGAUUCUAGUGAAGAGAAUCGAUUUAAUGAAUCAAUGUUUGAUUUAUGAAGUUAUUUAUGGAUCACUGUUUAUCAAUUGUUGUAAAAGAUUGAUGAUGUAUGGAAGUUUUUAGUCACUGUUUAUUGUAAGGUUGUGAGUUUAAUGGAGAGGAAUUGUAAUCGAAGGAAUUGUCUCGAUCAGAUUCUGUGGAUUCGAAGUUAUUCGUUCCAGGGUUUGGGUUAUGCUUGUGUGUUCAUGAAUUACACAGGGUACUAAAAUUGAUGUCGUGGUUGUUAUUGUAUUGAUAUGAGAGAGUCGACAGUAGGAGGAAAAGUUAAGUGUUCUUUGGUAUUGUAAACAUUCAGCAGUAGCAAUUAAUUGUGUGAUCCUAACAAUUGGAGCUCAUAUACAUGGUCUUUCCCUGUGUUCGAAUUCUCCUAUAUGGAUUUAUUCUGGGAGGUUUCUUCCGGAAUAAGUAAAACGGAAAUCACAAAGCUCAAUGAAUUUUCAUUAUUGUAGUCCAUUACACUGAAGAAUUAAUUCAAAUCAAUUCAUAGCAUAAUCACCUUUAUUUGGUAACAAAAGCUCUAUCUUUCUAAUCUAAGCUAAAAAGCCUUCUAGUCCAUUCAUCUCUACAUCUUCAUAAUCUUAGCCUUCUUCUUCCUAAAAAGGUAACCAAAAUGAGUAUUCACCUUCUCAAAAGUAAAUAAUGUAUUCCUUUAGAAUGGUGCAUUGGCUUUGUGUUCUUUCAUGGAAGUGCCUUAAUUAGCUUCAAUGCCUCAUCUUACACAAAAAAAGCUUGAGGAAGUUUUAAUCAACACUUAUCUUGCAUAUUAAAAAUCUUGUACAUGCUUCAAGUUGUGAGUCAAGUAUGCCCCACAUUUUAGCCAAAUUUCAUGGCAACCAAAGUGAAAGUAAGGCAUUGGUCUUAAUCAAUGACCAAGGCAAGAUCCUUUUGUAAUUCAAUAUUUUGCCAAAAUAUAAGCAAUUAUGCUCCUUACAAGGUCAUGGUAGGCUCAUCAUUACUAUCUCAACCACCCAAGCUACAUGCUAUAUUUUUGGAGUCAAGCUUUAAAUAUAAUUUUUAUUCAGAGAAUAAUUGAAUCCAUCAAGAAAGAAAGCCGUUGGUAGUACAAAUUAUACCAUAAUAUAGACAAAAUAAGCUCUAUAUUAUGAUAAAUAUUACACCUGUGAAGUUGCUUAAAGACGCUCUUAAAAAACUAUCUCCAAUUUGGAUCAAAUUACAAUUGAGCAUUGACAAAACUCUCAAAAUUCUCAUUCUUGUUUUACCAUAUGCGUUUCUAAAGAUUCUUUAGAAAAGAAGUAUCUUCCUCAAUACUCAAAAUAACCUCAGAAGCUACAAUCUACAAAGCUUCAACCUCCAUGAUAUCUACAAAACAUCUCCACCUAAUGCACUCAAAUCUAUAAUAGGUGCAUACUACUAUCUCCACCAUCACGAAAUCUUAGGCCUUAAAAAGCCUACUUUGUAGCAAUAGACAUUGAAAAAUUUCUAGCUUCACAUAAUCUCGAUUUCAAUAUGCUAUGUUGAUUUGUACCUUUCAUUUCUAAUAUUUAAUUAUAACUUCAACUUUGAUAAAUUCUCCACUAUCUUUGGUGCACCAAAAUACCUACAAAUGUGCAUGGAGAAGUUUGAAGACAACUUGGACUCUAUUAAGCUCGGCUUGAGCAAGUAGAAAUACUGCAUUGACAAUAUGGAAUUCCUCAUAGAGUAGUUGUAGAAGAAGUUGGACCAUAGGAAAGGUAAGAUUGAUCUUCCAAAUUCAUGCUCCUCCAUGCACAAAAUGCAAUAAUAAUACCAAUUAUAUCACCUGUUGCAAGGAAAAGGCUAGUAAUGUAUAGUGCAUAAUUUAUAAUGUAUAUAAUGCACAAUUUGAAAUAGAUAAUUUUGUAUGAAGACUACUAUGAGUUAUUUUAUUAUGAGUGAAGACUACUUAUAGCUAAAAAACAAAGAACUAGAGACUCAAAAUAUAUUAAAACAGUUAUUGAAGGUAUUUCUUAGUAAGAGUAUUUAGCACAAAUAUCAAAAAUACCUAGUUAAUAUACUUUGCUUGAUUUUUGAUAAAAAAAAGUUUGAAUUAACUUUAUUUUUUUGCUUCACUUUUGACAAAAACAAUGAGGCAUGUAGCCACAUGUAAAACAGGUUGUAAACUCUACAAAAUAUGAACUUUUUUGAUGAAAAUUAAGAAAGAUGCAUGUGGUCAAGGAUAGCCACCACUUAUUUCCUUGAGUGAUCUUUAUAUAUAUAUAUAUAUAUAUAUAUAUAUAUAAUGAUAAUUUUUGAAUAUUUAUAUUUUAUUUAUUAUUUUAUAAUUAUUAUAAUAAUUAAAAUCUACUUUAUAUAAAAACCUAUUUGGUUGGAAAUCUCUUCUUUUAUCUUUUUUUUUUAUAUUUAUCUUUUAUCUUUAUCUUUAUCAUUUUUUAACAUUAUCUACUUAAAAUUUUAUUGUAUUUUUUUUUUUAAUGUUUAUCUAAUGAUUUAAAUAUAUUUUAACUUUUAUUUUUUAGAAAUAUAUUAAACUUAAAACAGCUUACAUAUACACAAGAUUCUCAUUUUUGAGAUAUUUUAAUUACAAAAAGUUAUUGAUGGAAAAUUAAAGUACAGUCAAUCAAACAAGAAGUGAUCAAUUAAUACCUGAUUCGGCACCUUUCUUGCUAAGAGUUUGGAUAGAGAUCCUACAAAACAAGUUUGAUGGGUGACUAAUAAAUUGUACUUAUUCAAUUUUGUUUUAGAAUUUCUUAUUGUUAAAGUUUGGACUUUUUCUUCUCAUAACCAUUCAAAAUAUCAAAUUUACACACACAUCUUAGCUUUGAAUGAUUCUUUUCAAAUCCAUCAAAGGUUGUAGGGAUUUAUUUAUAAAGGUAUUGAAAUUGAAUGAAUUAAUUUGAUUCAAAAUAGUUGGUGUUGGAAGCAAUGAUUGAAGAUGAGAACCCACCUUAAUAAUGUUGGCUAGUUGAAGCUUUCAAAUUGCAACAUUGUUGGUGUUGUCAAGGACUAUUCUUGAUGUUGUGAAGUACCACCACCCUUGGUGUUGUCUUCUGAACCCAUUACUAUUUUUGUAUAUACAUACUAUACAUACUUUAAAAACAUAUGAGAAAGUAUCUGCUAGUUCAUUUUGAGCUGGAAUUGAAUUUCAUUCAAAUGUCCUCAAGGUAGAUUAACAUUACAAACCUUGGCACUCUCUUUGUUAAUGCCAAAAGAUAGUUAUAAGAAAUGAACGACUUUAGUGUAAUGUAAUCAAAGAUAUAUACAUUUAUUUCUAACAAGCAUAUUACCUGUAUAAUAAUAAAAAUAAUAAUUACAAAGAAAAACCUUCUAUUCUUCAAGAUUUACGUAUUGAAUGAACAAGCUCCUACAAGCAUUUUCAAUACCAUCCAUUUUUUUCUUAAUUUGUCUUUUAUAAUUCUUGAAGUCCUUCCAUCAUAACAUACUACAUCAUAUUCCACUGUUUCAUUUCAAUAUAGUCAAUCUUCUUCAUGUCUCCACUCCCACUACAUUAAAUUAACCAAUGUGUCAAAACAUCAAAUCAUGCCCUUGAUGCAACCCCUAUGAACAAUAAAUCCAAAAAGUUCCAAUUCACAAAACAUCAAAACCAACAACAAAAUCAUUAAAAAGUGUAUAUUUGGAUGCUUAGUGGAAUGAGCAAAGGCAAUCAUCCAGACCCAUACAAAUGACUUGCCAAAAACAGGGUCCCCACCUCAAUCAAUCUCAACCCUAAACCUGCCGAAACCCUAAAAAAACUGAGACCGCAGACCUAGUCAUAACACUGGGUGGGCAGCCCGCCAGGGGACCUUUCGCCGACAGGGCUCUUUUUAUGAUACAAGCUUGCAGAAACCGAAUCAUGGACCAGAGAGAAAGAUCGACAUAAAUUGGGUGCCUGCAACUCCAAAUGAAACAACAGCACUCCAUGAUUCUCAACGUUGGAGGGCCAGUCAUUAACUUGGAGAAUCGUCUAGUUCACGGUUUUCUACACGGAUCUGGCACUUGCGGUAUAGACUGGAACCAGCUAAGGUUUUGAGGUUCAGUGGACAGUGCCGUUGCGUGGGUUAGAUUGGUCACGGUACUGAGCAAGAUCCUGCAGUAGAUCACAUCGACAUGGUGUGAGGGUGGUGGAAUAAUCUAGAUGAUGAAACGGAGAAGAUGAGUUCUUAGCAUCGAAGGGUUAGCUGACCUGUGUCAACGCGUAGACACCCUGAACUGUUGGUCCCACUGGACUUCCUCGCCGGAGGAAUUUUGAGUCUUGCAAAGUGUAGAGCAUGGGAAUGCCGGUUGAGAGCUCGAGCUCGAUCACUUCCUUGGAUGUGAGCUUGUCUAAGUACAUGAUGAUGGCGCGCAAGGAAUUGCCGUGCGCUGCGAUCAUUAUGUUCUUCCCAGAUUCCAGCUCUGGGACCACCUGCUCACACAGCAUCACCCAUCGGUGGGGUUUAGGAAACCGUGCUAUAAGUCUAACAAAGGUAACGUCAGGGGAAUGUUUAGAGGUGAAGGGUAGUUGCUAAAAACUGCAGUGGAGAGUGAGAGAUCAGCUCUAGAGUUUUUGAAGAGAUGGAGAAUGUUUUGGAUUUAUCUUACGUUGUCCACGAAGUACUUGACGGCGCGCUCUGCACACAUCUCGAGGCUCUCCCCAUUGGGUGGAGGGAUAUCAUAGCUUCGGCGCCACUCUUUGACUUUCUCAGUGCCGAAUUUCUCAGCUGUUUCUGCCUUGUUCAAUCCUUGUAAUUCACCGUACCUGCAUGCGAGGAAAGAGCGUGUAUGGCUUACUUUAUAUGUUCAAGGCAAGGCUUUGAAAAAAAUUGCAAUUCGUUUUGUUGGGUUGGCAGUGGCAGAAGGAAUGCCAGCAGAUUGGGCUUACCACGCCUACAUUGAAUCGUGAUCAGAAGAAUAUCAACAGGAUGUAUUCGUAAGAAUCAUACAACUAGUUUGAGAAGGAUACCAGUACAAUCAACAGGGUCUCUACGAAAACUGUGAAUACUCCCAAAUCGCAUUACGGUGUUUGCUCAAGGUUUGUGGAGGUUUUUGCAUAACUUCACAUAAUGGCGAUGGAAGUGGGUGGAGAAGUAAAGGUGAAUGAAUCGAAGAGGUGGACUUACAUGCGCUCAUUAAGCUGCCAUGCGGUGACCACGGGGAUGACAUCGUCUGUAUCGCUGUAUAUUCUACUCCACGCUUCUGCCCUCUCACUUUCGUUGUGAAGAAUCACUGGCACCUGAAAGAUAUGAACUCCGAAUUAAUUCACAGGCAUGACACCAAACUGAACACAUUCACUCCCACGGCGUUGUAAUGCCAAGCAUACACAUGCGAAUCAUUGAAAGGGCCACAAAAGGCACGGACAACAUUAAGAUGUCUCACCUUCUGGCGAUGGUGCUGCGUCAUGGCGAGCAUAGCAGUCAUCUGAGCCCGAAUCAGCGCAGAGGUGAAGAUCAUAUCCACGGGGAGCUCGCUAAUGCACUUGCCUGCUUCGAUCGCUUCUUCCACGCCCUUCUGAGACAGAGGGACGUCCACACAUCCCGUGAAGAGAUUCUUCGAGUUCCAUAGCGAUUCUCCAUGGCGAAUGAGAAUCAGUGCCGACUCCCCUGCAACCAACACAAACAGCCAAGUGCUCAAACACAUUGUCUAGUAGCUAAGCUGCAGCUGCGUUUCCAACAAACCAAUACCUACACUAAGGCGGAGAUAACAAAGAGGGAAUCGAAACCCACUAUUGCCGCUUGGAGUCGCAAUACCAUCAGCAAUGAUAGUUUCGGCAGAUUGUUGCACAGCAGAAGAGGUGAUUCUUCGCCGCUCACGCACAACUCGCAUCGACGACGACGACAACAGCCGCUUAUGAAUCGAACACAAGGCUCCCGACGACUUGAGACUAACCCCGGCAUUGCGGCAGCUACGCCACUGAACAGGGUGAAGUGAACACACACCCUCCGCACGCAACACGGAAGCCGCAGAGGAGGCAGGGCACACAGACGAAGCAACCGCCAUGGUUCAACGUCCCCGAACACUUCGAGGAGUCCGCCAAGCACGAAACGGAAACAGAGAUGAACAAUGUCAAUGGAUUCGCAGGAACCGGCAAUGGACUCAGGCACGCAACUGAAAGGAUUCUCUUUCGGUAUGGGGAGCAUGUGAGGAUCUCGUUGGCCUUUAGCUUGAAGUUGCAUCUGUUUUUCCAGGCACGAGUUGCCCUGCAGGAAUACCGGCUGCCGCGACCUUUUGGUGAGACUCCAUGGGUCCAUCCUAUUCCAUUCCUUUUACGCCAUUUCUUUCUAAUUUCCUGCUUAUUUAUUCAAGUUUCCUGUUUUUCCCUUCCAUCACUGAAAUGCCUGGAAUUUGGAAAAGCAGAGCGGAUUGGGGCCAGAAUAGAAAAGAGCUCUGGUAUCUUUAUCUUUGUCUCCCUCAAGUCUUGAAUGAUGGCUGGGUUGGGGUCAUCCUCUGUGAGCUGCAACGAGUGGUCGAGGUCGUGCUUUCCCACUGCUUCGAAUUUUGUUGGGGAGAUCGUCACUAAUUGGGCGACAAAGGAAUGGGAAUUGUUCAGCUUGAACCACCUUUUCCCUUAAAAGAAUCAGUCGGAUGAACUGUUGUCCCGUUAUUUCUUAAUCGCUAGUACUUUAUCGAUGAUUACUGGUGUUUCGAGAACCGGGGGUGUCUUGAGUGAAGCUCUGGAGGUUGGCAGCGCUAGAUCUGGUGGCCCACAAUCGCCACCUGGGACCCACCAUCUUUCCAUCCUCUGAUGGGUAUGAAGCGUCGGCGUUUGAAAUUGGAUCCCAAGUUGCGACCUCGGUUGUGUGGAGCCGGAUAACGUCCCAGCGAUUAGGGUUCACGCGCGUCGGGACAGAUCCUUACAGAAUUCCCUGAUUUGGAAUUGGGUUCCUCAGCGUCGGUACGAAUCAAAGCAUGCAAAUUGGCCUCUAGUUACUUAACAGGGUUUCUUCGUCUUCUUCUUCUUCUUCUUCUUCUUCUGUUUUGUUUUGUUAGCGAGAGUUGAACAUCACAGUAUGCUGGACAUCUUAGCUAUGGCUGGAAAGGUCACCACAAUUUUUUUUCCAUAAACGUAGCUACCUCAUCGGGCAGAUCGCUUGUUGAGCCGAAUUGUUUCAGAAGAGAAUCGAUCUUUAGUAUCAAAAGCAAUGUCUCUCGAGCAUGAAACUGUUGGCUUCCUUUCUGAGCGGCUUUUUGGGUUGUUAACAAGAGCUCCAGACUAUGGCCCUCUGUUCUUUGAAUAUCAAAUGUACAUGGAUUGAAACGAAUUUCCUACGACUUUCUUGAGGGCAGAUCAAAGACUUGUACUCAUCUCGUGGAGAAGUAGGGUUUCGACCGGCUUUCGAUUCGUGGACUUCAUAUUUGUUGCACGAAUUGUGAUCUACCACCACAGUUACAGAGCGGGUUAUGCGAUGUCGACAGCCCAUUAGGCAUUGUCCUUUGAACUCAAACAGUCUUGCGUUAGAAACCUGCUCAUGAAGUGAUAUUCAACCAGCCCAGGCGGUUAACGAACGCAAAACCGACCAAGAUAUGAAGACACAAAUCCUUCACUGAUUUCUCUUAUUUCGAAUCAUCUUGCCCAUCCCCAAAUGGAUCAUUGUUGUAAGCCAAGACUUCAAGCCUGGCAAGAGAUAAUUCUAUGCAGAGGCAUUGCACCGCAUUACAUUGUCAUCGAUUUCGGAGCCUUUGUCAAAAACCUCUUGCAGCUCUUUGAACACUCCAAGUAAAGUAACCUUGGAAGAUGUAAUUGAACAAUUGAGAUCAACACAAACUACAGCAGAUUGGACAUGACCUUCAAGUCUAAUUCGAGCUUUUUUGCGCGACUAUCGUUCGCAUCAAUCUUCUGCUCUACAUUCUGCAACUGUUGCUGAGUGUCUUGAACCUGAACGAAAGGAUCUCAACGAUUAGUUAUGAAUCCAGAGGCGAAAUGGUACUGUGUAAUACUUAUCGGAGAGAUGCGAUGCAGGAGAGAAUAACCUCUCUUUCCAUAGCUCGGAGCGUGUUCUCCAGCUCCCGGAUGCGUGCAUCGCGCGACCCAACAGUUACACUAAGGGUAGAAUCGGUUAAUUCUAGCUUUCGUUGCACUUCCAAUAUCUCCAUUUCUCGACUCUGGUUAUCAUCACAUGUUGAUAUCUUAACCACACACGCACAGGAAUGCUAAUAUAGUUGAGAAUGCGAUAUUGGCUCUCUGGAGGACCUGCAGCUUGUGCCAUUUCAUGCAGGCAAAAUAUGAUUAUGAUGGUUUUCGUUGUGUGCUUAGAAACACGGUAACACAGUUGUGAAAAUCUCUUGGUCCUGCCUUUCUUACCAGGCAAGUGCUCUCAAGAUUUGCAAACUGCUUGUCACGAUCUUGCAGCAGCUUGCGCAAUGAUCCCGCAAUUUCGAAAGCGCUUUCGAGCAUCUCCUGAGAUUCACCAGGCAUUCCCUCCAGCCUCUCUGCUGUAUUUAUCAGUGCCUGCAUGCAUUUCUCAAGCUUCAGCUGCACGUAGGAUUGGAUUAUUUGCUGCAAUCUGAAAGUAUGAGCUCAUGCUGUCGCAGAACCUAAUCCGGUAGCCUCAUGCUCAAUGCAAUCGACAGCGCGAGUUAUGGUUGGGUACACUAUUUCCUGAUAGCUUAUGGAUCAGCCCUAAGAGUACAGGUGACGAAAGCCAUCCACCUGCUUGUAGGAGUCAAUCUGUUUCGUUUUCUCAGCGAGUUGAGCGCGAUGUUCGUGCAGAACUCGCAUCAAAUUUUGCAUCUCCAGAGUGCUGUUGACAUCUCCUUCGGUGGCUUCAGUAUUCUCUCUCUGAAGGUUUUCCUGCAGAGGGGUUAUUUUUCCGUUUGAUUUUGAGCAUACAUCGUAGGGACUGGUAAGGUUUCUUAGCUUACUGAUGCUCGCAUGACACUUCUCGGCAAAUUCUCGAGGAGGGGACACACAGGUCACGCGCAUACGCUACCUCUCAACAACGCACCCCAUUACCUGCAGUCUUUCGAUUUCUAAUUCAAGCUCCUGCGCGCGACGAUGCUGGAGUUGAAUCUCAUCAACCAUCGACUUCUCGAGAGUGGCACCAUCUUCGAGAGCACGCUGAAGAUGCUCCUUCUGUUUGUCCUUGCUCACUAUGGUAUUCUUCAGGUCCGCAAUCUCCGACGACAUUUUGUCUACGCACUCACCGAGCUGAAGCUUCUCCACGUCCAAACUCACCAUCCCAACCCCUCCACUGUGAACCACCUAUACAACGAAGCGCAGUUCCACAACAUCAGAAACAUGAGCUGGGCCGCACCACCAUCCAACCCUCUGCGCAGUGCACCCGAAUGUCCACAUUCUUCACCCCAAUCUGUCCCAUGUGCUGGAUUGGAAUCAGCUCGCAAGCCUGCCUUGGCAUCUGCCGUGUUAGUCACACAGCGAUACGACUACACCCAAAUCCACCCUCUGCCACGGCGCGUAGAAGCUUCGAGGUCCACCACCUCCGCAUGCACACAUCAUUGGCAGCAUUGCGUGCGACGAAUUACGGGCACCCUGCAGAGUAGCUUUUGGUGGAUCCAAGGCAACAAGAUUUCCAGCUGCCAAACGUCCGAAACGAAAGCUUGAGGAUGGGCGAGGCGUCGGCAAGCGCUGAUCCGUCGCGCUGCCAUGGCUCGGAUUCAACCUGGGCACCUGCUUCGCAAGACAAAGGCAGUUAUAACUGACUCAGAUUGCGUGUCGUCACUCUCGCGGCUCGAUUGAUCAUCGAGACACGACGAAAGCCGUCGUCCACGAUCACGCGCAAGCGACGUGAAGGCUCUCGCGGGGCGUCGCGGCGGUGACGCCCCGUCAAGUCCGAGUGGUUAUAUCGUCUACUAUGAAUCUUAGGUUUACUGUAUUCUAAUAAUAAUAACAAUAAUAAUAAUCAUAAUAAUAAUAAAUGACGGAUUGAGGAUGUUUAAGGUUUAGGGUUUUCAGUUUUCCACAAAAAUUAAAUAAUUAUUAAUCAAUCAAUAGAGCCCUUGGAUGUGAAGUUUGAGCUUUGGUUUAAGUUUAUUUAUUUAAUUAUUUAUGUUUCUCUUUUUCUUUUAUUUUUUCUUUUUGAAAAGAUACUCUAGAUCUUUGGAGAAUAAAUUUUGGUGUUAAAAAAAAAAAUACAGCACCAACUGUUUUUGAGAAUAUAAUUGUUCUUUUUAACAAGCUGAGUGAUUGAAAUUAUGUUAAAGAUAAAAAAAAAAAAAAAUUAGUAUACACAAAAUUGCAUUUAACUGAGGCUGGUAUUUACUAAAAAAAUGUAUUGUUUUUAGUGCAAGUGGAUUGAUCAUAGAAUUUGGAAUUUUCAAAUGUUAGUAUGGAUUGAUUGUAAAUAUGAUGAUUGUGCCGAGACAUAAAUAGGCUGGAAAACAAUAUGAAAAAAAAGAAAAAGAAAAAGAAAAAAGAAUCUAAACUAAGUCUAUGUUUCAUUUUUCUUUAAUUUGGAUUAGACAUUAAUGUUGAUAUAUAUGUAUAUAUAACUAUAAAACAUCAACUAUGUCUGUAAAACUAUGUCUAUAAAACAUCAACUUAAAUUAUUAUUAUACUUAGAUAAAUUAAUCAAUUAGUUCUCUAACAAUUGAUAGUAAUAAAAUUUAAUAUCUGCCAAUAAUUUUAUUGUUUUUAAUGCAACUUGAAUUUUGAUGCAGCAGCUAGCAUAUGCAAUAAUAAAAUCAAGACUUUAUAUUCACUAAAAAUAAAAUUUCUGUGAUACCUUAUUCAUUCUACACUCAUCACACAUGUAAAAAUAAAAAAUAAGGAAGUAUUUAAAAUUGGAAUCAAAGUUGAUUUUGAAGUUAUAUUUACAAUUACACUGCAAGCCAUAGCUUCUAACUUUCAAAGCCUACAAGUUAGUUCCUGUGAUAUCAAGUAUAGACACAUUGCUUCUAUUUAAGGUUUCAACACAGUACCAUCACAUUUUGAAACCCAAUCACAUCUAAAAGUGCCACAACACUACUAUUCACCAUCUCGAAUGGGUCCAUAUGCUCUUACAAAUAAACUAAAAUGCUAUUCUAAAUAUACGAGAAAUAACACAAGAACCCAUAAAUUUGUCAUAUCAUCAACAAUUCAAAGAAAGUACUCAUUUUGAAGCUCAUGUAACAAGAAAAAAAAAUAUAUGAUGCAAUGUUCACCCAAAAGGGAUGGAAAUCGUCCAUAAAUAGGAUGAAAAAUAGUUUCAUCCAAAUGAUGGGGGGGGGUAAAGGGUGCAUGGGUGAGGGACACAUGACAAAGGAGGGGAUAUGAUGAAACAUGCCAAUGGUGGAGCUUGUGAGGGAAGAGUGAUCUACUCCCCCUUCCCCCCAAGUACCAUGCUCCCCAUAUUCAGUUGCUUAUUCAUCCAUCCAUCCAUCCAUCCUCAAUAUCGCAUGUCGAUCUUUCAUCCACCCAUUGAUGGAUGAACAAUAUGCAUUCAUCCACAUGUGCUUGUCCCCACCCUGUCUUCUAUUUAAUCCCCUUCCUUGCCUCGUCGCUGCGGUGCGCGCUGCUGCGGGGGUUCAUGGUUUUGUGUCCCAGCUGAAUCGACCGACGUCUUCCGGCUUUGAUUUGCUUGGUUCGCAAGUAUGAGUUUAUUGGAAUUCUCUUCGGACCUUCAGAAUUGUGGAACUCAAUUGUGGGUUACGGGAGAAUGUCCUGCACCGUGAUCUGUGUCGAUUCAAUGCAGCAUUGUCUGAAUUUUUCUAGAGUUGCGUCGGUAUUGUGUUUGUGCACACAAAGAUAAUGUGAGAGGGAUGUGGGGGAUUUUUUUUUUUCUGAUGCAGAUUC